rnacentral:rRNA from 1 species
GACGAACGCUGGCGGCGUGCUUAACACAUGCAAGUCGAACGGGAUUUAGUAAACGGCAGCCUCGGUGGAAGAUUACUAAUGAGAGUGGCGAACGGGUGAGUAACGCGUGAGCAACCUGCCUAUGACAGUGGGAUAGCCUCGGGAAACCGGGAUUAAUACCGCAUAAAAUCGUAGAAACACAUGUUUCAACGGUCAAAGAUUUAUCGGUCAUAGAUGGGGUCGCGUCUGAUUAGCUAGUUGGUGAGAUAACAGCCCACCAAGGCGACGAUCAGUAGCCGGUCAGAGAGAAAGAACGGAGACAUUGGAGCGGAGAAACGGUCCAAAAUACUACGGGAGGCGGCAGUGGGGAAUAUUGCAAAAUGGGGGAAAUCAUGAAGGAGCGAGGGCGGGAGAACGAAGAAGGUAUUCGAAAAGUAAAGUUGUGUCAUAUGGGAAGAUAAUGACAGUACCAUAGAAAAAAGCUCCGGCUAAAUACGUG